UCCAAUGUCCCAAAUUCCGUCUCGUAUUUUAAACCUUCCAAACACCCCUAACCCUACUCAUUUGCAUCUCACCCGGCCGCCCUUCUUUCCCCAUUCUCUCUCAUUUUUUUCAUCCCCAUCAACCCCAUCAAUCCGAAAACCUUGCACAAAUUUGUGCAAGUUCAUCCCAAUCGAACCCUGAAACAUCUAUCUUGUCCCUGAUAGCUGCAAAUCACAUCGGCUUCCAUUCCUUUUUCUUCGAUUUAAUUCGAAUUUCGAAUCUCAAAUUCGUAAACCUAAAAUGCACAAAUGGGUAUACUAUCAAUCCUUGCUCUGUUCUGUCAAAUCAGUGCAUGAAUGAACAUAAUCUGUAGAUUCUUCAUCAUUAUUCGAUGUUCAGAGGUCAAACACAGUGACCUCCAUAUAUUAGAUUUUGACCAGCAAUCCAACGGCUUCAACGGCCAUCUCCUCGUACCUAGUUUGAGUUCAUCUCCUAUACUUAUGUUGAGUUUGGAUUCCUAAAAGGCUGUCAAACACUCCCUUACAUGGUUCGCUACCCUACAGAAGACCAAUUCGGAGCAUUUGGAGGCCGAGUCCAGAGCCAAGAGCAUGGCGGGGUAGAGAUUUAACCAGUUUGAGGUGUAACUGGACACGGUAGCGGUUGUUGAUUAUUUUGGUUGC